rnacentral:lncRNA from 1 species
GAAUAUCUACAGAAGUAUUUUGUUGAAUCAAGUCUUUUAAUUAUUUAAUUAAAUUCUACUUUUGUUCAUAAGUUAAUUUUAUGAAUGUUAUCAUACAAUAGUUUUCAGUAUUAAAUAUUUAUUAUAUUACUUUGAAAGUCAGAGUUUUAAAAAAAAUAAAUGAGUUAGUUAAUAUAACUUUAAUUGAGAAAUUAGCGAAGUUAGCCGAUAUAAGUUGAAUUGGGCAAAAAUGAUGAAGUAAAUUCAACGUUAGGUAAAAUUCAAUUUGAAUCAUUAAAUACUUUAAUCUUCAAAACUAUCAGUAAAAUAAAAAGUAAAACUUACAUAAAUCCCCACAAGUUUACCCCUAAUUACUCUCUUUCAAUACUUAUUGCUAAAUUACAAAUAAUCUCUUAUUUUGAUAUUUUCGGAUACAUAAUUAGCAUCCGGAUACAUAAUUUUAAAGUUGAGAUAAAUAAUUUUGAACUUAAAAAUGUAAAAGUUAAUUACUCUAUUUUUGUCCGAAUACAUAAUUGUCAUUCGAACAUAUUACUUUGAAGUUAAGAUACAUAAUUUUGAUUAUUGAGAUACAUCCAUUUCUGAAAUUAUUUGAUCGGGAUACAUAAUACAUUAACUAGACAAAAGGGAGAUACAUGAUUAAAAUUAUGUAUUUGAAAAAUUAUGUGUUUGCUGACUUACCCGUCUGUUUUAAGAAACAAAAAGAAAUUUUGGUAAUUAAUAAAACGGGUAGAAUUUUAUGUAGUUUAGUAAAGAUAAGUUGUGGUUUUAUGUAAUUUUUUAAAUAAAAAAGAAAAACAAUGUUGGGACAUGCAUGUGUUGGAAACUAAAAUGAAAAUCUAAAAUAAACUCUAAGAAAUUAUUCUUUUAAUUUUUUUUUAAAAUAUAUGAUUAAAAAGGGCAGCUCGGUUCACUAAAGCUACCGCUAUGCGCGGUAUUUGGGGAAGGGGCCCAUCACAACAGUGUAUUGUACGCAACCUUACCUUGUAUUUCUACUAGAGCUGUUUGCAAGGCUUGGACUCAUGACCUCCUGGUCACAUGACAACAACUUUACCAGUUACUCCAAAACUCCUCUUCAAAAGAAUGUUGGAAGCGGAAAAAAUAAAUAAAUAUAUAUAUAUAUAUAUAUAUAUAUAUAUAUAUAUAUAUACACACACACAUACAUACAUACAUAUAUGAGAUUAAUAUUAAAAAUUCUAAGAUAUUGUCGAACUAUCUUUACAACUAAGAUAAUGUCACAAAAAAUAAAAAAUAAAAACAUAGCAUCAAGACUUUAAAAUUUUUUUACAAACAUAAAGUUUAAUACUAAUUUUGGAUUCGGGCUUAGCACAGGCCAAAUAUGACUAGUAGAUAGAUAUAGAUAGAUAUCGAUAAAAAGUGAAAAAAAAAAGAAUGUCUAAGGUUCCUAUUUUAUUCUUUUUCGCCACCUAAUUUGACUUAAUUAACUAUUGACAGGACUUUAUCCUUCGUAUGAUAAAAGUGAGAAUUUACGACAUAAUUUGACACCUUUGUUGGUUUAAUUUUGGAUUAAAUAACUUGACACCCUAAUUACUCAUGCUGCUACCAUUAUUGAGGAUUGUAUUACUACUAUUAAUAAGAGUGAAGAAGCAGAUAGCUCUUCGUCAACAUAUCUACUUCUUCACAUGCUUUAGCUGCUCCGUGAUUUUAUUAUAUUAUCAUUAAUUAAUUAUUUUAAGUCAUUUAUAUAUAAGAAAAUUAAUAAUACUUAAUUAAAAAAAGGUAUUACUACUUUUAAUAAGAGUGAAGAAACAAACAACUCUUCGUCAACAUGCCUGCUUCUUCACAUGCUUCAGCUGCUCCGUAAUUUUAUUAUAUUAUCCAUAAUUAAUUAUUUUAAGUCAUUUAUAUAUACUUAAUUAAAACAAGGUAAAAUAGACAUUCAUGACAUGUCUGUUUCAGCUGCUUCAAUCGUAGUAUUACUACAUCACCUCAAAUUAAUUAUUGUAAGUCAUCUAGGUAUUACAAAAUUAAAAAUAUUUAAUAAAUAAUAAAAUAGAUAUAAAUGAUAAAUCAAUUCUUAAUGUUUUAAAUUAAUAGGACAUCUUAUAUGAGACUUAUUUAAAAAAUUUCACAAGUAUGUUUGCUCCAUGAUUUUACUAUAUUACCCCUAAUUAAUUAUUGUAAGACAUUUACAUAUAAGAAAAUUAAUAAUGUUUAAUAAAAAAAGAUAAAAUAGACAUUUAUGACAUGUUUACUUCAGCUGUUAUAACCAUAAUUUUACUAUAUCACCUCUAAUUAAUUAUUAUAAGUCAUUUAGGUAUUAAAAAUUUAAUAAUAUUUAAUAAAAAUAAAAUUAACAUAAAAUGAAAAUUAAUUCUUGAUGUUUUAAAUUAACAUGACAUCUUGUAUGAGACUCAUUUAAAUGUUUUUUCACAAAUAUUUUCUCAUAGUAAUUUUUCUAUAUCACUUCUAAUUAGAUAUUAUAAGUCAUUUAGGACAUAUCCACUUUGCUGCUUCAAUCGUAAAAUUUGGUUGACUUUUGAAUUUAUUUCAGUGUUACUUAAAUUGGAAUAGAAGAAAAAGUAUUAUAAAUCAUAAUAAUGAAAAACCUAAAUUAUUUUAAGAAUAUAAUUGAAUAUCAAUGCCACAAAAAUUUGGAUAAGGAGAAUAACAUAUAUUAUUUGAAAAUUACAUAAAAAAUAUUAUAAAUUACAAUAGCUAACAAUUUAAAAUGUUUAAAAACAUAUUAAGAAUCUGAUUAAUUAUCUAAAUUAUAUUUGUAUCACGUAAAUUUGGGAUAGUUUUGACAUUUUAUAAUUUGCAUGUUUUAUUAUGUUAAUUUAGUAAUUUGUUGAUCCAAAUGAUGUUUUCGAAUCUAACAUGUUUUAAAAAUUUAGUACUUUGUUUAUUUUAAUUUAUUUACUUUAUUUUGAUAAAUAUUACUCCUCCUGUUUAAAAAAGAAUGACCUACUUUUUUUUUUAGUCUGUUUAAAAAAGAAUGAUCCUUUCCCUUUUUAGCAAUACUUUAAUUUCAACUUUUCACAUGACAUGUUUAGGACCACAAGAUUAAAGGACAUUUUGGUACAUUUGACAUAACUUUAAUUUAAGGCCACAAGAUUCAAAAGUCUUCUUUAUUUUUUUAAACUUUGUGCCAAGUCAAAGUAGAUCAUUCAUUUUGAAAUAGAGGGGGUAUAUAUUUAAAAAUUAAGCAAAAAAAUAAUUAUAAGUCAUAACUAUUAACAUCUUUUAAUAUUUUAAAACAUAUAGUAAAAAAGAUGAUUGACUUUUGAAAUUCUAAUAGUGUCACAUAAGUUGCGAUAAAUCAAGUAACAUAAAUUAUUUGAAAUUACAUUAAAAGAUACUAAAAUCACAAAGAUUAACAACUUAAAAUAUUUAAAAAAAUAUAUUAGUAAAAAAAUUUGAUUGACUCACUAAAUUCUAAAAUUGGGACAAAGCGAGUAACAUAAAUUACAUAAAAGAUACUAUAAAUCACAAUGAUUAGCAACUUAAAUUAUUUAAAAAUUUAUAUUAAUAACAUUUUGAUUGACACUUUAAAUGCUAUUUGUGCUACAUAAAUUGAGAUAACGUAAAUAAUAUAUGUUGGGCCCGUGCUAGCACAUACUACAGUAUCUAGUUUUGGCAUGAACAUGUAUAGGAUAAGUAUAAAUUAAAAAAAAGAAAAAAAAAAGAAAAAGUUUUUUUUUAAAGUAUAGGAUAAGUAUUUUAGGAAAAAUUUCAGAAAUAGCAACUAUAGAGCCUUAAUUGUAACUUUUAUAGCGCAACAGUUUCAUAAUUACGAAAAAUAAUAAAUUGUAUUUUGUAUUUAAGUAAACAGUUGCUAUACAAAUACAUAUAUAACAUGAUUUACUAUCCUUAUUUUACUCAAAUUAGUUGAGUUAAAUAAGAAAUAAUUAUCCCAUCUAAUUAAAUUUUCAUAAAUUACUCUUAUUUAAAUUAGUAGAUUUUUUUCCAAAUCAAACUCAAAUAUGAAGAUUAUUAUUUCCAUGAUCUUAAAAAUUUCAAAAUAUCAUUUUGUUAUAUCUCUAAAUAUUUUUUCUUGUUAGUUUUUUUCAAUUUUUAAAUCUUUUUUCAUUUUAAUUUCUUUUUCUUUUCCAUUUUUUCUUUCCACUUUAUUUUCUCUCUUCUACUUCUAUUUCUCUUUCCUUUUUCACUUCUUUCUUUUUUUGAAUUUUUCUUUUUCUUUUUGUUUUUCUUUUUUUUUUUUGUUUUUUCUUUGUUUUUUUUUACUCUUCUAUCUCUAUCUUUUAUUUUUAAAAGACAAAUGUCUAUAUCAUAUAUACAUAUUCAAAAAAUAUACAAAAUAAAUAGAUAUAUAGAUCUGUAUAUGUAUUUACGGUAAAAAAACAUACAUAUAUAUCUGCAUAUGUAUUUACAAAAAUACAUAUUUGACUCACAUGUAUAUAUAAAUAUAUAGGACACAAAAUCUCUAUAAUAAAAAUGACAAUGAUAUACAUAUACAUAUAGGUAAUAAAAAAUACAUGAUACAUAUCUUAAAUAGUAAAAGAAAAUAAAUAAGUACAUCUGUUACCCUCUAAAAUGACAUAGUACGUACAGUUUAAAGAUAAAUCCAACAUCGUAUAAAAUACAUAUAGCUCUGCAUAUGUAUUUACAAAAUACAAAUCUGAUCCAUAUGUAUAUUCUUAUUUUAUAUGAGUCACCUUUGUAUUUCGCAAAUAUAUAUGAAGAUAUAUAGUAUAGUUAUAUUUGUUACUGUUUAAUAUGAAUAUGAUAUAUAUUUCGUAAAUACAUAUGUAUGUUUUGUACUAAAAUACAUAUCUAGAUCUGUAUGACUAUGUAUUUUAUAUGUUUUUUGAAUAUUUAUAUGUCAUAUACAUAUAUUUUUUUUCAAAAUAAAAGUUGGAGAUAGAGAAGUCAAAAAAAGGGAAAAAACAAAAAUAUAAAAAGAAAAAAAUGAAAAAAAGAGAAGUGAAAAAAAAAAAAAGGAAGAAAGAGACACAGAAGUGUAAAAAUAAAAGAAAAAAAGAAACAAAAUAAAAUAGGAAAAAGAAGAACAAAACAAAAAUAGAAAAAGAAAAAAAAAAUAUGGGAAAGGAAAAAAAAAGAAAACAAAAAAGUCAAAAAAAGAGGAAUAGAAGAGAGAAAAUAAAGUGAAAAGAAAAAAAUGAAAAAGAAAUAAAAAUAAAAAAUAAAAUGAUUAAAAAAAAGAUGAAAAAAAACUAACAAGAAAAAAAAAAGGUAAAAAAUAUAAGAGAGUGAAAGAUAGUAAUGAUGUUUUAUAUUGAAAUCUUGAAGAUCAUGGAAAUAAUUAUCUUCAAAUAUGAAAAAAAAAAAAAUUAAAAAAAAUGAAAAAGGGAAAAAAAGAAGAGAAAUAGAAGAGAGAAAAUACAAUGAAAAUAAAAAAUUAAAAAUAAAAUAAAAUAAAAAAAUAAAAUGAUAAAAAAAUAAGAUGAAAAAAGGGGUAAAAGAUAUGACUAUAUUUGGGGGAGGUGAAAUAUGGAGUGAAAAUAGUAAAAUAUAAAAUAGUGAGAGUAAAACAUGCACUUGCGUAGUUAAUGAGUAAAAUAAUGAUACUCUUACUAUAAACUGUAAUUUUACAAAAAUGUUGCUAUUUAUUGUAAUUAUAGUCUUAAGUAUGCUACUUUUUGUAAUUUUUUCUUUUUUUAAAUGAGAGCAGAGUCAAAAGGCACUUUUCGAAAGUCAAAAAAUCAAAAUGGGUUGCCAAUUUUUUUUCAGACCAAAAGGGGUUGUUGGCAACACAUGCUGCAAACUGAUCACCCAGUUUAUUUCUUAAUUUCAACCCACUUUCUAUCUUCGUUAAUAAAUCACACGUUUUGAACAAACAUUUUUCAUCCAGUCAGUAGGAUCGAAUCUUGGGUUCCAAAUCGAGUCCCUUAAGUCCCACAUCUAGGUCGGGGUAGGGUCUUAAAUUAGGGUCAGGGCUUAAAUAUCGAGUCUCAUACAGGUCUCGAGACUCAAUUAAAAGUUUGGUUCUAUUUCAGUUCGGAUCUUGGAUCCAGUCUUUGGCUUAAUUAGAUCUUGGGUCCCAAGUUGGGACUAUCUAAGGUCCUGUGAUAAGGGAUGGGUCGACUUGAGUCUUAAGUCAAGGCUUAUUAGGUCUAGGUUCGUGGUCAUACAAGGGGCUUAGGUCUUGAGCUCCAAGAGUGGGUAUAGCUUGGGGUUGGAUCUUGGUUUGGUUGGUGUCAAUGUCGGGUCUUGGGUUAAGGUCGAGGUCGAGGUCAGGUUUUGAUUUAGGGCUUAGGUCUAGGGUAGGGCUUGGAUCUCAAGUCUCACGUUAGUAGUUGGGAUCAAGUCUUGAAUCAUGAAUCAGGACUUAAGUUGGGUCUUAAGUCUAACUUCAGGUCUUAAAUUGGGUUCGAAUCUCAAGUCUCAAGUCAUUAGUCAGGUUCAAAUCUCGAGUCCAAAGUCAAUAUGGGUUCAGGGUUAUCAGGUUUUGGGUCAGGUUACAUGUUGAUCUCGGAUCUCAUAUCUUGGAUCAGGCUUGGGGCUCGAAUCUCAAAUUUUAAGUUGUGGUCGAGGUCAAGUAUUGGGUCCCCCGAUUGGAUCUCAACUUAGGGCUUGGGUGGGUCGAGGAUCAAAUCUUGGGUCAAGGUUGAGUUUUAGGUUAGGUUUGGGUUCGGGUAUCGAGUUAAACUUAACAUUAUAGUCGGGUUCGAGUCUUAGGUUUUAUUUGAUGGGUCAGGAUAGGUCUGUUAAUUUUAAUGGAUCCGGGUUUUAAUUUUAAAUGGGUAAAUGGUAGGGUGAGUUAAUUUUCAGUACGUGGACUUCAAAUAAGAGUCCACAUGAAAAAGAUGGUAUAGCGAAAACCAUUUGUAUUUUCUAUUAAAAAUAUAAUGUAACACCCCAAACUUUCGAACAAAAAAAAACAAAUUGAAUCGUUCUUCAUAUGUACUUAGACACGAAUCUAGAAAAUUUAUUGUAUCUAAGUUUAAAGGUCAUGUCUAAAGUGUCAUAGGGGCAUUGGAUAUAGGGGUGUGCAAAAAUUAAAUCGACCAAUAAAUCGAAUUGAUUAAAAUGUUAUUGGUUUAUUGUUAUUUGGUUAACGGGCUUUCUAAUGGUUUUAUAAAAUAAAAUUAUUGGGUUAUUGGUUCUGUUUCGGAGCCGGGGGUUUACCGGAAACAACCUCUCUACUUCUUCAGAGGUAGCGGUAUGGAUUGCGUACAUUUUACCCUCCCCAGACCCCACUUGUUGGGAAUACACUGGGUUUUUUUUUGUUGUUGUUGUAUUAGUUCGGUUUCGAUAUUUCUUAUUGGGUUAUUGGUUUACCCAAUAACCCAAUAAGAAUAUACUAGAUUACUAUUUUACACCUACUUAUACACACACAUGACUUAUUAUAUAUUUCUCUUAAUUUCUACAAAUUAACAACCUAUUAUUUCAAUUAUACAAACUCUUAAUUUCUCGUAACAACAUUUAGUUCAAGUUUAAAGAUUCUUGUAAACUAAAACACAUCAUGUUGGUUGCAGCCUAAUAAAUGAACAUCAGUACUUGAUAAAUGAUCAACAAAAAAGGUUUUACCAUAUUUAUAUAUUCUCACCUUGAUACUUCAACAAGUUCUUAUUUGUGCAACAUUUGGAGCAAGUUGUGAUCCAACUUGGCAAAACGAAGUAACACGUCACUCUUUGUCUCCUACUUCUCAUAGAUGGAUGCAAUGAAGAAUCGAAUCUCAAUUCGACGAAUACCUUUGUGCAAAGAUUGCUCAAGGGCAUGCGUCGUUUUCUCCUUAAGAGGAGAAGUUCAAAUGUGGAGUUGCAGACUGUUGGAAUUUCAAAGCACAAAAAAGACUACACUGAAGAAGAAGAAGAAGAAAUGGAUAUGCUGAGCAAAGAAAAGAAAUUGAGGAACAUGAUACAAAUUAAAAAGUCACGUGUAGAAGACCCCACGUAAAGAAAAGCUGGACAAUUCUUUUUUGUAAAUAUAUUUUUCUUCUUUUCUUUUGUUUUGUUUUGUAUUUAAUUAGAUAUACAUGAGUUGUUCUCAACCAAUAGGUACAUGUAUAGUUUGAUUACAACUGGACUCUUUUUCAGCUGUAUAAAUAAACCAGACGUACAAUUUCCUUUAAUUCUCUUUAUUUUCUUCAUGGUUUUAGAGCAAGUUGUUUAAUUUCUCCUCAUUUCUUGUUCUUCUUUUAAUUUUUUAUUUUCGCUUCUGUUUUUCCAAUGGAAAUUGAUGAAUCAUCUAUAAGUAAGAGUACUGAAUCCACAAUGAUGGAUUCCAGUAGUCUUUACUACCUACAUUCUUCAGAUUAUCCAGGUAUGAACUUGGUUAAUUCUACUUUUGAUGGCAAAGGGUAUGAAGGCUGGCGUAGGUCUGUCCUCAUUGCCCUAUCGCCAAAAAUAAGCUAAGUUUCAUUGAUGGAUCUUGUGUCACACCUUUUGUUGAUGCUCCGGAGUUUAAAAUUUGGAGUAGGUGCAACGACAUGGUCCUAUCUUGGCUUCUUAACUCUCUCUCGAAAGAGAUUUCUGACAGUGUGAUCUAUUCCAAGACUGUGAAAGACCUUUGGACAAAUUUGGAAGACAGAUAUGGUCAGUCAAAUGGGUCAAAAUUAUACCACCUACAAAAAGAAUUUAAGUGACUUGGUUCAAGGUUCUAGUGAUAUAGCAGGUUAUUUCACAAAGAUCAAAAGACUUUGGGAUGAACUAGACACUUUAAUUACUAAUGUAUGUUGUGAUUGUGUCUGUACUUGUGAAGGAAAAGUUAAAAUUAUUAAGUCUAUGCAAGAUGAAAGAUUGAUCCAUUUUUUAAUGGGUUUAAAUGACUCUUUUUCUCAUAUUGGAGGAACUAUAUUGAUGAUCGCUCCUCUUCCUAAUGUUAUCAUGGCUUACUCACUUUUAAUCCAAGAUGAAAAACAAAGAGAAGGUUAUGUUAAUAAUCAAUAUCCUGGAGAGUCUUCCUCUUUUUUGGUUGUUAAUAGGGCUGCAGGGAAUAAAAAAAAUGGAAAUCAUGAUUAUACAGGAAAAGGAAAAGUUGAUUUAAAGAAGAAUAGCCUUGUUUGUUCUUAUUGUAAGAAGUUGGGACAUACUAUAGACAAGUGCUACAGGAUUGUGGGCUUUCCGUAAGAUUUAAAGUUCAUCAGGUACAAGAAGAUUCAAGGAGGAACUCAUUGCAAUGCAGUCAUAACAGAGCCCCUCCUUCACAAGGUUUUUAUGCACAUGAAACAAAUGAAAAUCAACAGCUCUCACCAGAGCAGUUCACUCUACUCAACAAGUGAAAAUUGGUCAAUCAGAGGCUAAACCCUCAGAAGUUACUGCCAACUGCGUGUUCUGGUAUAACUAAUCUUGCUCAUCAAUUUCUUUCCUGUUUUAAUCAUAUCAAAUUCAACUCCUAGAUCAUAGAUUCAGGGGCAUCAGAACAUAUGCUUUUUGAUGUUUCUCUUUUUUCUUAUCGCACUCCUUUUGUCACACCUUUAACAGUAAAUCUACCUAACUCACAAAAGGUGAAGGUUACUCAUAAAGGAAAUGUUCAAAUCUUGCCAAAUUUGAUUUUACAUAAUGUUCUUUUUGUUCCAGAAUUCAAUUAUUAUCUUCUUUCUAUUGAGAAAUUAUGCCUUCAAUAUAAAUACAUACUAACUUUCUCUUCCACUGGUUGUUUCUUAUAGGCCCUUCAAUGAAGAGGCCACUGGUUCUUGGUGAAAGUCGUAAUGAUCUCUAUCUGCUCAAAUCCAACUCCACAACUCCUAAGUCUAGCAUUCAAGACAUCUUCAGUAUUCCAGUUUUACAAAGUUCAACAAUCUUUCCUAAUUCAACAUUUUCUUCUUUUUCUAGUAAUGUUUUAGGAUCUACGGUUGAUGUAAAUUUGUGGCAUAAGAGAUUAGGCCACUUAUCUUAUUCAUAAAUGAAAAGAAUAAAGUCAGUUAUUUGGAAUUUUCAAUCUCAUGCUAAUUUACCUUGUGAUAUUUGUCCAAUGGCCAAACAAACUAAAUUACCUAUCCCUUCAAGCAUUAUUUCUACCAUAUCAAUCUUUGAAUUAAUUCACAUAGUUUUAUAUGGGUUCCAUAUAAAACUAGCACAUAAGAUGGUUUCAAAUAUUUUCUUACUAUAGUUGAUGAUUUUAGUAGAGGAACUUGGACAUUUCUUUUGACUACUAAGAGUAAUGCUUUUCCCCUUCUCAAACACUUUCUUAGUAUGGAAGAAAGACAAUUCAAUACUAAAGUUAAAAUAAUCAGAUCUGAUAAUGCUUUAGAAUUAGGUUCUAGUUUCAUCAUUUCAGACUUCUUCAAAACUCAAGGUAUUUUACAUCAAAUUUCUUGUGUCGGAACUCCCCAACAAAAUGGAAUAGUAGAAAGAAAGCAUAGACACCUAUUGGAAAUAUGUUGGUCUCUUAUGCAUCAAUCACAAGUCCCUACUUCUUUCUGGGGAGAUUGUCUUCUUAGUUCUACUAUUUUAAUAAACAGAUUUAUCAAGAGUAUUAAAAUUCACCACUCCUUACGAAGUGCUUCACAAAACUAAACCAUCCUAUAAUUUUUGAGAACUUUUGGAUGUUUAUAUUAUAUUUCAACUCUUUUCGCUCAUAGGGGAAAAUUGGAACCUAGAGCUGUCAAAGGUAUAUUUUUGGGAUACCUACUAGGAAAAAGGGAUAUAAAGUCAUGAGUCUUCUUACAAGAAAAAUUAUUUAUUCAAGGGAUGUAGUUUUUCAUGAGAAUAUAUUUCCCCAUUCUUCUCCAUCUCCUUCUAUUCUUAUUUUCCCACAAAAUUUUGAUUAUUUUCACUAUGCUAGCGAUCCUAUUACGGAGCCAAUUUCUCCUACAAAACCUCCUGCAAAGGGCCUUGAACCACCGAAUUCACCUCUUGUUCAUACUUCAUCUUCUAGUCCAACUAUUUUGUCACCUGGGAAUGUAAAUCCUAGUUUUCUUUCUCCUACAACUCCACCUCUUCCUAGUUCACAAAUCGAUACUAUUUCUACUACUUUACUCCAUCAUUCAACUCCUAAAGUCACCAGAUCAGGAAGGACUCAACAUAAGCCUUCUUACAUAAAAGAUUUUAUCUGUAAUGCAGUACAUUUUACUGCACUUACUGAUACUUGUUUUGCAGCUUCUAUUCAAACUCCUAUUUUUUCCUUCUCUACCCUCUCCAUUACUAAUCAACAAAUGUUAAACUCAAUUUCUAUUAUUAAGGAACCUUCUAGUUAUGUAGAAGCUUCCACGCAUCACGGUUGGCAGGAAACUAUGAAAAGUGAGUUUGAAGCACUGAUUUCUAAUCACAUUUGGGAGACUAUGGAAUUACAAGUGGGACAUAGAGCUCUUCCUUGCAAAUGGGUUUACAAAUUCAAGCAUAAGUCUGAUGGAUUCGCUGAGAGACUUAAGGCUAGACUUGUUAUAAGAGGAGAUAUUCAAAGAGAAGGAAUCGAUUACACUGAGACUUAUUCCCUUGUUGUUAAGAUGACUACCAUAAGAUUUUUGUUUUCAGUAGCCGUUAAGAUGAAUUGGGGGAUUUAUCAAUUAGAUGUAAACAAUGAGUUUCUACAUGGAGAACUACAAGAGGAAGUUUUGAAAUUUCUCCCCGGAAUGCAACCUACUAAUCCUAAUCUCAUUUGCAAGCUUAGAAAAUCUCUUUAUGGUUUAAAACAAGCCUCGAGGUAGUGGUAUGGUAGGAUCAUAGCUGUACUCAACUUCAAAGGUUAUAUUUAUUCUUUGAAUGACUAUUCUUUAUUUUUCAAACAUACAGGGAAUUCUAUUUCACUUGUUGCUGUUUAUGUCGAUGAUAUUUUACUAACCGACAAUGAUCCUAUUGAACUCAAUUCUCUUAAGUCAUUUCUCAAUGAUGAAUUUAAAAUCAAGGACCUCGGAGAGGUGCAUUAUUUUUUGGGAAUGGAGGUUAUUAGGGAAAAUCAUAGACUUAUUCUUAGUCAAAGGAAAUUUACCUUGGAAUUGCUGGAUGAAUUUGAUUCUCAGAAAUCAGCUCCUGUUUCUUCUCCUUUGGAUCCUUCACAAAAACUAAAGAUGGACUAAGGUGAGUUAUUAGCCGACCCAAUAACUUAUCGACGGCUAUUAGGUAAAUUAAAUUUUCUCACUCAUACCAGGCUAGAUUUAUCUUUUGCUAUGCAACAUUUGACCCAGUAUAUGCAGCAGCCAAGGCUUCCUCAUUUUUUGGCAGUACUCAGAGUUAUUCGGUACCUCAAAUUAGCUUCUGGCCAAGGUUUAUUUUUCUCAAUUUCACAUUUGAUUGAGCUCAUGGCUUUCUGCAUUUCCGAUUGGGGAUCCUGUCCCGAUUCCAGACGCUCUGUUUCUGGCUAUUUCAUUACUCUUAGGGGAUCAUCUAUUUCAUGGAAAUAUAAGAAGAAAUCUUCUAUUUCUCUAUUUUCUGCUGAGGUAGAAUAUCGAUCUAUGAGGCGUGUUGUUGGUGAACUGACCUGGUUUGUAAAAUUGCUUCAUGAUCUUUCUAUCACUCCAUCUCUCCCAAUUACUCUUCACUCGGACAGUCAAUUUGUCAUCCACAUCGCAAAAAAUCUUGUCUUCCAUGAACGGACCAAACAUGUGGAGAUCGAUUGUCACUUCUUUCGACAACAAUACCUUGCUAGACUGAUUUCUUUAUCAUAUGUUCCUUCAUCUGCUCAACUUGCAGAUCUCUUCACCAAACCGUUGUCAGGGCCUUCAUACUUUUCCAUCCUUUGCAAGUUGGGUGUCUCUGGUUUCCCCUCCAACUUGUGGGGGCUGGUGGUGUUGGAAUUUCAAAGCUCAAAGAAGAAUACAAUGAAGAAGAGGAAGAAACGAAUAUGCUGGGCAAAGAAAAGAAAUUGAGGAACAUGAUCCAAAUUAAAAAGUCACGUGCAGAAGACCCCAAGUAAAGAAAAGCUGGACAAUUUUUUUUUGUAAAUAUAUUUUUCUUUUGUUUUGUAUUUAAUUAGAUAUACAUGAGUUGUUCUCAACCAAUAGGAAAAUAGAUAGAUGUAUAGUUUGAUUACAAUUGGACUCUUUUUCAGCUGUAUAAAUACAUGUACAGAAUACAAAAGUAAAGAAAACAGACAUACAAUUUCC